rnacentral:rRNA from 1 species
GAUGAACGCUGGCGGCGUGCCUAAUACAUGCAAGUCGAGCGAACAGACGAGGAGCUUGCUCCUCUGACGUUAGCGGCGGACGGGUGAGUAACACGUGGAUAACCUACCUAUAAGACUGGGAUAACUUCGGGAAACCGGAGCUAAUACCGGAUAAUAUAUUGAACCGCAUGGUUCAAUAGUGAAAGACGGUUUUGCUGUCACUUAUAGAUGGAUCCGCGCCGCAUUAGCUAGUUGGUAAGGUAACGGCUUACCAAGGCAACGAUGCGUAGCCGACCUGAGAGGGGGAUCGGCCACACUGGAACUGAGACACGGUCCAGACUCCUACGGGAGGCAGCAGUAGGGAAUCUUCCGCAGUGGGCGAAAGCUUGACGGAGCAACGCCGCGUGAGUGAUGAAGGUCUUCGGAUCGUAAAACUCUGUUAUUAGGGAAGAACAAAUGUGUAAGUAACUAUGCACGUCUUGACGGUACCUAAUCAGAAAGCCACGGCUAACUACGUG